rnacentral:rRNA from 1 species
UAGGGAAUCUUCCGCAAUGGACGAAAGUCUGACGGAGCAACGCCGCGUGAGUGAAGAAGGAUUUCGGUUCGUAAAACUCUGUUGUUAGGGAAGAAAAAUGUAUAGUAACUAUAUACAAAAGAGACGGUACCUAACCAGAAAGCCACGGCUAACUACGUGCCAGCAGCCGCGGUAAUACGUAGGUCCCGAGCGUUGUCCGGAUUUAUUGGGCGUAAAGCGAGCGCAGGCGGUUAGAAAAGUCUGAAGUGAAAGGCAGUGGCUCAACCAUUGUAGGCUUUGGAAACUGUUUAACUUGAGUGCAGAAGGGGAGAGUGGAAUUCCAUGUGUAGCGGUGAAAUGCGUAGAUAUAUGGAGGAACACCGGUGGCGAAAGCGGCUCUCUGGUCUGUAACUGACGCUGAGGCUCGAAAGCGUGGGGAGCGAACAGG